ACAUUGGGAGAGAAGCUUUUCCGGAUGUGAAUACAGAAAUAAAUUGAAAUGGUGCCCAGGGACUGGGAAGAUGGACCUCCAUCAAAGCAACCAUCUUCCUUUAUGCAAGAUAUGACAUCACACCAUUGGCGGCCGGUCACUCGCUUGACUUUUGGAAUUUAAUUCCUUGAUCAAAGCUGUGAUGAGGUCUGGUGAUAGGUGGUCUGAGACAAACACCAUCUGGCAUCAGUAAGCAGAAUAUUGGAAAGUACAGACAGUGAUAAUUCUAACUCUGACAAUAUAUCCAUUGGCGUUGGCAACAUAUCGGAUGGCAAUGGUGGAGAACCAGAAUUAUCACAUUACUUUCAUCUCCAGCUGCAUCACCAGGACGGCUUCUGAGUAGCUUGGCAUCCAUUCUCUGCCCAUUUUUCAACAGAUUGUUCUUCCAGCAGCCUUCCAGUGAAAUAAACCACUCAGGAUUAAAAAUACCCUUAAAGAAAGGCAAUUUUACUUUACAUUUUUUUUCUGGCUGAUUGAUUAAAAACUACGCAAAAU